GAAAUGCGAUAAGUAAUGUGAAUUGCAGAAUUCAGUGAAUCAUCGAAUCUUUGAACGCACCUUGCGCUCCUUGGUAUUCCGAGGAGCAUGCCUGUUUGAGUGUCAUUUGACUUAUCAACCACAUCAGAUGUUUUGAUGUGGCUUGGAUGUGGGGGUUUCUUUUGCCGGCUUUUUCUUUUACAGAAGGUCAGCUCCCCUGAAAUGUAUUAGUGGUAUCUGAGCUACUGCUAUUGGUGUGAUAAUUAUCUAUGCCUUUGGUAUGCUGCAUGAACAGAUUGCGCUGCUUAUAACAACAAAACAAUUGAAUUUGACAAAUCUGACCUCAAAUCAGGUAGGACUACCCGCUGAACUUAA
rnacentral:misc_RNA from 1 species